CCUACGGGUGGCAGCAGUGAGGAAUAUUGGUCAAUGGGCGCGAGCCUGAACCAGCCAAGUAGCGUGAAGGAUGACUGCCCUACGGGUUGUAAACUUCUUUUAUAAAUGCAUACAGUGAGGCACGUGUGCCUUUUUGUAUGUCCUUUCUUACUAAGGAUCGGCUAACUCCGUGCCAGCAGCAGCGGUAAUCCGUGGGAUCCGGGCGUUAUCCGGAUUUAUUGGUUUUAAAGGGAGCGUAGAUGGGUUGUUAAGUCAGUUGUGAAAGUUUGCGGCUCAACCGUAAAAUUGCAAUUGAUACUGGCAGGCUUGAGUACAGGUGAGGUAGGCGGAAUUCGUGGUGUAGCGGUGAAAUGCUUAGAUAUCACGAAGAACUCCGAUUGCGAAGGCAGCUUACUAAACUGCAACUGACAUUGAUGCUCGAAAGUGUGGGUAUCAAACAGGAUUAGAUACCCUAGUAGUC
rnacentral:rRNA from 1 species